rnacentral:rRNA from 1 species
UGAGCAAUCUGCCCUUCUCAUCGGAAUAAGCGUUGGAAACGACGUCUAAUGCCGAAUACGACCUCCUUUCGCAUGAUCGGAGGUGGAAAGCUCCGGCGGAGAAGGAUGAGCUCGCGGCCUAUCAGCUAGUUGGUGUGGGUAAUGGCCCACCAAGGCGACGACGGGUAGCCGGCCUGAGAGGGUGACCGGCCACACUGGGACUGAGACACGGCCCAGACUCCCGUAGGGACGG